rnacentral:lncRNA from 1 species
AUGUUCUGGAGGUGCUGGGCAGUGUGCACUGUGUCCAGGAGGUGUCUGUGCUCAGUGGCUGUGCCUGAUCCUAGCACCAAGGGACUGCGAUCUGUCCCGUGCUUUCUGCCUCCUCUUGCUGUGUGCUCCUGCCUGCUUCCCAGGCACAGCACCAAUCCUUGUGCCUCGUCUGAGACUUGUACACCUCGUGAAAUUCCCAGCCCUGUGAGCAUGAGCCAUCACAUCUGUGUGGAGAAAGAGGGCGGGUUGCAAGACGUGAUGAACCAAGCUAUUGAUCCUGGUUUCUCUUCUGGCCUGAGAAGAGACAGACGUACUCCUGCUGGAAAGAGACACGGACAUCUACCAGCACAUGGAGACCCCCCGGUGGAGGACACGGAUCAGCUGCAAGGCUCCAGUUAUCAGUAACUUCAGGUUGCUACUAAUACACCUGGGGUGGCAGCAAGCCAUAUUACGGCUACAUGUGACACCACAUGAAUUUUAAGCAGGUUAAGUUAAUUGCAACAUUCAGAAGUAACUCGGAUUCAAUGAUGCCAUUAAAAAACAGGGAGACCCGUGAGGGCAGCACCCCAGGGGGUGCUGCCAGGCCUCCUCCAGCCCCUCUUCCUCCCAGUUCCCAUCUCAUGGAGGCAAAGAGCUUCGCUCCCCAAAGCCAAAAAUGCAGCUUUGGGUGCUCAGAGCCCAGAGCUGCUGCCUAAUUAAAGGUUUCUGGUAUUUGUGCAUGGUAUUUGGAGAGCAGCAAACCACCACUGCGGCUGUGCAAGCAGUAGAAAGGAUGAAAAUCGAAGAGCGGAGAAAAAAAUGAGUAUUUUAAUGUGUGCACAGGAGCCUGUGCACAGGGAGUCAGGCUUUGAAGUGCCUUGUCACCGAGCUCUUGUGACUUUAAAGCUUGUUUAUAUUUUGUUUGCCACUCGCGGAGCUACAGCAAAACGGUUUGAGCUGGGAAGGGGGAAGGCAUCUGAACACCCUGUGCACAGGACCCUGGAUGUGCAGAUGUGAGGGUGCUGUAACGGGGAGUUUAAAGAGCUGUCUGUCAGGCCGUCCUGUGGGCUGCCUUUCCCCCAUUCAUACAGAAACCAGAAUUGAACCCCCUGAAGCUAGUGUGUAUUGCAAAACCUAUUUUUCAUGUUUCUGGAUCCAAUUUACUUUGAUAAAAUGCACAAGAUACCUGUCAAACCGUUGCCUCUGUUUUUUUACACUCACUUGUCACUUGCUAACAGGCAUUUACAUGGGGAAGUGUAUUGAUGAGAUAAAUGGCAUGGCAGCACCCAACCCCUUCCCUUGUUUUAUUUAGGGAACUGUUAAAAGUUUCCUUUCUAUUUAAAAAAAAAAAAAAAAAGGCAAUAAAAACCAAUCAAACAAAAACCCA